rnacentral:rRNA from 1 species
CUCCUACGGGAGGCAGCAGUAAGGAAUAUUGGUCAAUGGAGGCAACUCUGAACCAGCCAUGCCGCGUGCAGGAAGACGGCCCUAUGGGUUGUAAACUGCUUUUGUACCAGAGAAAACCCUCUUACGUGUAGGAGGUUGAUAGUAUGGUAAGAAUAAGCAUCGGCUAACUUCGUGCCAGCAGCCGCGGUAAGACGAAGGAUGCAAGCGUUAUCCGGAUUCAUUGGGUUUAAAGGGUGCGUAGGCGGACUUGUAAGUCAGUGGUGAAAUCUCUCAGCUUAACUGAGAAACUGCCAUUGAUACUGCAGGUCUAGAGUAUAGAUGACGUUGGCGGAAUAUGACAUGUAGUGGUGAAAUACUUAGAUAUGUCAUAGAACACCGAUUGCGAAGGCAGCUAACGAAACUAUAACUGACGCUGAGGCACGAAAGUGCGGGGAUCAAACAGGAUUAGAUACCCUGGUAGUCCGCACCGUAAACGAUGAUUACUCGUUGUUGGCGAUAUGACAGUCAGCGACCAAGCGAAAGCGAUAAGUAAUCCACCUGGGGAGUACGCCGGCAACGGUGAAACUCAAAGGAAUUGACGGGGGCCCGCACAAGCGGAGGAGCAUGUGGUUUAAUUCGAUGAUACGCGAGGAACCUUACCUGGGCUUGAAAG